UACGUAGGGUGCGAGCGUUAAUCGGAAUUACUGGGCGUAAAGCGUGCGCAGGCGGUUCUGAAAGUCAGCUGUGAAAGCCCCGGGCUUAACCUGGGAAUGGCGGUUGAAACUACAGGACUAGAAUCUGGCAGAGGGGGGUGGAAUUCCACGUGUAGCAGUGAAAUGCGUAGAGAUGUGGAGGAACACCGAUGACGAAGGCAGCCCCCUGGGCUGAGAUUGACGCUCAGGCACGAAAGCGUGGGGAGCAAACAGG
rnacentral:rRNA from 1 species